UGAGAGUAUACAUAUUGCAGUGCAACUUGUGAAACCCAAUACAGUGUUUUCAGAGAUCUUCCUAACUCUUUCCUGAAGGGAAGUUACGAUUGACUUCUGCUGAAGUGGAGGCAAACUUCUCUAUCAUCAAUCAAGCCUUCCCCUGCUGAAAUGCUCCAUGCCCACCUGAAAGUUGGAGAGAGCCAGAGGGAAACCAGUGGAGGCCUCAGCAUUGCCCACCCCUCCCAAGUCAGACCUAGACAUACGGGAAGAACACGCUUGCUUCUUUCACAGGCACCAUUCAACCAUAUGUUCAAGGUAGAAUCUCAUAUAUGUGCUCCAGGAGACACUUAAAGAACGGUCAUAGCAAUAUUCUUGUAAAAACUCCAAACUGGACACAACAACCCAAACAGGGAUUUUGUAGCCAUUCGAGGUCCACAGGGUGUGAGCCUUUGUGUCAUGUGUGCAAGAUGGCUACUGGCACUCAAGCCAUCACAUCCACCUUCCCAGCUCAAAGAAAGACUGGGGCAAAGGGCAAAAAGGACAAUCUAAACAAAUGUGUUCACUUGUAAAGGCUUUCCCAGAAGUCUCACUUGGCCAGAACUGUAUCAUGUGGCCACUGUGAACUGCAAGAGAGGCAGAAAAUAUAGCUGACCACAUAGGUGUGCUUAGCCCUCAAUAAAUAAAUUUUAACAAAAUUAAGGUCUUUGUUAUUAAGAAAACAGAGAAUGUCUAGACCGAUGUUCCAAAAUAAGGAGGUAAUUAGCCAUCUCUGCCAUGCUAAUUUAUUGUUUCUGAAUAAGAAACUUGAAAUACAAUAGUAAUUCUGAAAUGAAAUAAAAUUAUUUAGGCUACAGUUAAUAAAUAUAAUGCUGUUAAAGUAGUAAUUGAUUCUC
rnacentral:lncRNA from 1 species